rnacentral:rRNA from 1 species
UACGUAGGGGGCUAGCGUUGUCCGGAUUUAUUGGGCGUAAAGAGCGUGUAGGCGGCUUUCUAAGUCAGGGGUGAAAUCCUGGAGCUCAACUCCAGAACUGCCUUUGAUACUGGAGAGCUCGAGUCCGGAAGAGGUGAGUGGAACUGCGAGUGUAGAGGUGAAAUUCGUAGAUAUUCGCAAGAACACCAGUGGCGAAGGCGGCUCACUGGCCCGGUACUGACGCUGAGGUGCGAAAGCGUGGGGAGCAAACAGG